ACACGCUAAAAUCCCACAUUUCCAAUGGCCUGUUGGAUUGUCCGUCUCCCCCCUGCCCCUGUCCCGAUUGGCCCACAAAGCCCCUGAAGGAGGCUACCUUCCUUGCUGGGCAUUUGAGGCCCAGCUCAGGCAUGCUGGUUUCCAGAAAGCCCAGGGGGGAGCGCUCAUGGCUGCCAGGAGGCCUGCCUCCCUCCCCGCCCCGUGCCCGAGGAGGCUGGCUCGCCCCGAGGAGUGCAGCCCUGCCUCAGGCGCCCCCUGCUGCCCUCCCUCCUCCUCCGCCAAGUGGAAGAAACACCUUCUAUUUUUAAAUAUUUCAACUGUUACUCUUAAGUAACACCGGUUCCUACUGCAGCCCCGCUGUUGGGUGAGAUACAGAGCCAAACGUUUGGAGGUUGCCGAGAAGGAAGCUCUGAAAUGCGUUCUUCUUCUGUUACGUAAACUUGACCUCGUGUAACUGAAAUGGCAAAGACUGAACCGCAGAGCAGGCCUGUUUCCUGAGCUCUCCUCCCUGCCCUCCGUGAUGCUCGAGUCCUUGAAAGAAAGUCUGAAGCAAAUGAGGAGAGGUGUUGAGGUUUUAUAAAACUGGUGGUGUUUACACA